rnacentral:rRNA from 1 species
CUUGAACGCUGGCGGCAGGCUUAACACAUGCAAGUCGAGCGGGGAAGGGUAGCUUGCUACCUAACCUAGCGGCGGACGGGUGAGUAAUGCUUAGGAAUCUGCCUAUUAGUGGGGGACAACAUUCCGAAAGGAAUGCUAAUACCGCAUACGCCCUACGAGGGAAAGCAGGGGAUCUUCGGACCUUGCGCUAAUAGAUGAGCCUAAGUCAGAUUAGCUAGUUGGUGGGGUAAAGGCCUACCAAGGCGACGAUCUGUAGCGGGUCUGAGAGGAUGAUCCGCCACACUGGGACUGAGACACGGCCCAGACUCCUACGGGAGGCAGCAGUGGGGAAUAUUGGACAAUGGGCGCAAGCCUGAUCCAGCCAUGCCGCGUGUGUGAAGAAGGCCUUUUGGUUGUAAAGCACUUUAAGCGAGGAGGAGGCUACUUGGAUUAAUACUCUAGGAUAGUGGACGUUACUCGCAGAAUAAGCACCGGCUAACUCUGUGCCAGCAGCCGCGGUAAAAC